GCAGCCGCGGUAAUACGUAGGGGGCAAGCGUUAUCCGGAUUUACUGGGUGUAAAGGGAGCGUAGACGGCUUGGCAAGUCUGAAGUGAAAGGCAUGGGCUCAACCUGUGGACUGCUUUGGAAACUGUCAUGCUAGAGUGUCGGAGAGGUAAGCGGAAUUCCUAGUGUAGCGGUGAAAUGCGUAGAUAUUAGGAGGAACACCAGUGGCGAAGGCGGCUUACUGGACGAUGACUGACGUUGAGGCUCGAAAGCGUGGGGAGCAAACAGGAUUAGAUACCCC
rnacentral:rRNA from 1 species